rnacentral:lncRNA from 1 species
AGAUGCUCUCUCAUCUCCACUCGUCUCUUAAAGCUAACCCUAGACUCCUCCACUAACCUCUUCUCUGAUCAUCUCCGACGACUAUUUUUUCAAACCACAAGCCUCGAAUGGUCACUCCACCACCUUGCUCAUGAUCUCUAAGGCCCUCAAGGGUCUGGGCCAUGACGAUUUGGACCAAGAAUUUCUGAUUCUAUUGUUCGAGGCUUCUCUGGUGCGAUUUUAGGCAAAAUCACACCAUGUGUGUUAUGACUUGUGAAGUUACAAUAUGUUAUUUCACUUUCUACUUAGGUUUCCUUUUGAAACCCUAACUCUAUUUGGAUUUCCCAGAUUUAGAUUAUUUUCAUGCUUUAAGCUUGUUUCCUUCUAUGAUUUGCUUACUCUCGAGCUUUCUUCUGAAGGAUCCUCUAUUCUAAACUGUUUUUACUUUCUUUGAAAACUAGGGUUUCUCAGAG